rnacentral:misc_RNA from 1 species
GAUGAAGAACGCAGCGAAAUGCGAUAAGUAAUGUGAAUUGCAGAAUUCAGUGAAUCAUCGAAUCUUUGAACGCACAUUGCGCCCCCUGGUAUUCCGGGGGGCAUGCCUGUCCGAGCGUCAUUACAACCCUCAAGCUCAGCUUGGUGUUGGGCCCCGCCGCCCCGGCGGGCCCUAAAGUCAGUGGCGGUGCCGUCCGGCUCCGAGCGUAGUAAUUCUUCUCGCUCUGGAGGUCCGGUCGUGUGCUCGCCAGCAACCCCCAAUUUUUUUCAGGUUGACCUCGGCUCAGGUAGGGAUACCCGCUGAACUUAAGCAUAUCAAUAAGCGGAGGA